rnacentral:pre_miRNA from 1 species
AAUAGAUAACGCCAUUGACUUUUUCUCACUUGUUUGACCAUUCGUCUUAUUCAAAAAAAAUUACGUAAUUAUAAUUUAUUUUGUUAUGGGUUGUUUUAUCACUUAUAGUACUUUAAUUGUGAUUUAUAUCUUAUACAUUAGCAUAAAAUUUUUGAAUAAGACGAAUGAUCAAACAUGUGAGAAAAAGUCAACGGCGUCAUCUAUU